UCUCCUGGAAUGGAGCGUCAUAGAGGGUGAGAAUCCCGUCCAUGACAUGGACCACCGAUGCUCUGUGAGAUGCUCUCGAAGAGUCGCGUUGUUUGGGAAUGCAGCGCAAAAUGGGUGGUAAAUUCCAUCUAAGGCUAAAUAUUGGCGAGAGACCGAUAGCGAACAAGUACCGUGAGGGAAAGAUGAAAAGCACUUUGGAAAGAGAGUUAAACAGUACGUGAAAUCGUUGAAAGGGAAACGCUUGAAGUCAGUCGCAUUCCAUGGCACUCAGCCUCGCUUCGGCUUGGUGUACUUGCCUUGGGAUGGGUCAACAUCAAUUUUGACCGGUGGAUAAUGGCGAGGGGAAUGUAGCGUCGUUUUGGCGAUGUGUUAUAGCCUCUCGUCGAAUGCAUCGGCUGGGAUUGAGGAUCGCAGCACGCCCUCGUGGUCGGGGGGUUCGCCCUUAUGUAACGUGCUUAGGAUGUUGGCAUAAUGGCUUUAAGCGACCCGUCUUGAAACACGGACCAAGGAGUCUAACAUGCUUGCGAGUGUUCGGGUGAAAAACCCUUGUGCGUAAUGAAAGUGAAAGUUGGGAGCCUCCGGGAGGGGGUGCACCGAUGCCUGGCCCUGAAGUUCUCUGAUGGUGCUACGGUGGAGCAAGUAUGUUGGGACCCGAAAGAUGGUGAACUAUGCCUGAAUAGGGUGAAGCCAGAGGAAACUCUGGUGGAGGCUCGUAGCGAUUCUGACGUGCAAAUCGAUC
rnacentral:rRNA from 1 species